GUGGACGCAGAUUGAAUCGACC
rnacentral:miRNA from 1 species